rnacentral:rRNA from 1 species
AUGCUAGCGAAGGCUGUUCCUCGCCCCUGCUCCGGCGCUGGCCGCCAUGGCGCGCCAGCGGCGAGGCUGCGGUCUGUCGGCGUCGCCGGAGGUCCGAGGAGAGGAGGAGCCGGUGGCAGGCUCGUGGCGGCGGACGCAGGGGAGAGGAUGCCGGUGGUGGCUGUGGCUGCCGGGAAGCAGCCCUUCAAUGGAGCAGCCAUGGCAGGUAUCGACAAGCUUGUGACCUCAACUGUUGGGAAAUCGACAAACAUUCUUUGGCAUGACUGUCCAAUAGCUCAGUUUGAGAGGCAGAAACUGCUAAAUCAGAAGGGUUGUGUUGUGUGGAUAACAGGGUUAAGUGGUUCAGGGAAAAGCACACUAGCAUGCGCGCUAAGUCGCGAGCUGCACUCCAGAGGUCAUCUGACCUACAUUCUAGACGGUGACAAUCUAAGGCAUGGGUUAAACCGAGACCUCUGUUUCGAAGCAAAGGACCGUGCUGAAAAUAUACGCAGAGUAGGAGAAGUAGCAAAGCUGUUUGCAGAUGCUGGUCUGAUCUGCAUUGCUAGCUUGAUAUCGCCCUACAGAAGUGAACGCAGCGCUUGCCGUAAAUUACUGCACAAUUCUACAUUCAUUGAGGUGUUUUUGAAUGUCCCACUUGAAGUUUGUGAAGCCAGGGAUCCAAAAGGCUUGUACAAGCUUGCCCGUGCAGGAAAAAUCAAAGGGUUUACUGGAAUUGAUGAUCCUUAUGAACCACCUUCUGACUGCGAGAUAGUGAUACAGUGCAAAGCUGGUGACUGCGCCACGCCUAAAUCGAUGGCUGAUCAAGUUGUGUCAUAUCUCGAAGCAAAUGAGUUCUUACAGGAUUAG